UGUCCUAAUGAUAUCUUGGAUUAGUUCAAAAAUAGUUUUGUUUGCUUAAAAAACAUGGCCACCAGGGGGCGGGGCAUUUUUCCUUAUAUGGUUAUGUAUCAUGCUUUACUAAAACAUUGUUAACACUCUGUAGGCCACAUUUAUUUUCCGAUUAUUAUGAAACUUGGUCAGAUGAUUUGUCCAAAUUAUAUCUUGGAUGAGUUCAAAAACGGUUCUAGUUGGUGAAAAAACAUGGCCACUAAGGGGCGUGGCAUUUUUCCUUAUAUGGCUUAAGUAAAACCCUGUUAAAACUCUAGAAGCCAUAUUUAUUGUACGAUCAUCAUGACACUUUGUCAGAAGAUUUGUCCCAAUGAUAUUUGGACAAGUUUGAAAUUGGUUCCAGUUGCUAAGAAAAACAUGGCCACCAGUGGGCGGGGCAUUUUUCCUUAUAUGGACUUAUGAAUCUUCUUGAAACUUUGUCAGUAUAUUAGUUUAAAUGAUAUCUUGGAUGUGUAUUUCACGUUGACAUUUGAAGCUUUAACUUUGUAUGAUUCUAAAUAUGUGUCAAUGCUGUCAGUUGAAUUUUGCAAUAUGAAGUUUUACAUUUUUUGUAGAUUAAAUAAUUUGUAAAAUGUUGCAGUUUCGUCAAUCAGUUUUAUAAGAUAUUGAGCUUUAAAUAUGAUGCAGAUUGUAAGAUUCUUAAUAUCUUUCAAUAUUGUGGAUAAGUUUUUGAGAUAUCAAGCUUUGAGUUUUAUGCAAAUUGUAUGAUUUUAAAAUGUUUCAAUGGUGUUGAUCAGUGUAAUGAAGAUUGCAUAAUUUUUAUGCUUUAAUUCUGUCUAUUGGUUUUCAAAAUGAAAGACUUUGAUUUUGUAAGUGCACUUUUAUCUCCUGAAAGAUUCUUUUCUAGUGUUUAGUUUAUAUUUUAAGGCUGUUUGCAAACUCGAAGUGAAAACAGUUCUAUUACAAUUUGGUAAGGACAUGACAUUGCAUAUCUGAUUUUAAAAUGUACUUUGCUGGCAACGUGUAAUUUUCUGAAAUGUCUUAGUAAGACUGUUGUUUGCAAUCAAAAGGUCUGUGCUUCAAAUACAGGGUAAUGCAUGUUUUUUGUCCAAAUUUAUGGCGAUUCAGACAUUGUUCUAUGUAAAUUUGGGGUUUGCUUGAAGGUUCAGUCUAUUUUUAUGUCCCUCACUAUAGUAGUGGGGGACAUAUUGUUUUUGUCCUGUCUGUUGGUUGGUUGGUUGGUUGAUCUGUUUACGCCAACUUUAACAUUUGCAAUAACUUUUGCAAUAUUGAAGAUAGCAACUUGAUAUUUGGCAUGCAUAUGUAUCUCAUAGAGCUGCACAUUUUAAUUUUCUGAAAGGUCAAGGUCAGAGGUCAAAUAUAUGUGGCCAAAAUCGCUCAUUUUAUGAAUGCUUUUGCAAUAUUGAAGAUAGCAACUUCAUAUUUGGCAAGCAUGUGUAUCUCAUGGAGCUGCACAUUUUGAGUGGUGAAAGGUCAAGGUCGUAAUUCAAUGUCAUAGGUCGAAUAUAUGGCUUCAAAGCGGCGCAGUAAGGGGGAUUGUGUUUUACGAACACAGCUCUUGUUGUUAACUGCCUUUUUAGUCCCUUACCAGUGUUUCACUAAAGUCCGUGUACUUUGGACUCAUUUCAAGUUGACAUUUGAAGCUUUAACUUUGUAUGAUUCUAAAUAUGUGUCAAUGCUGUCGGUUGAAUUUUGAAAUAUGAAGUUUUUCAUUUUUUGUAGAUUAAAUAAUUUGUAAAAUGUUGCAGUUUAGUCAAUCAGUUUUAUAAGAUAUUGAGCUUUAGUUAUGAUGCAGAUUGUAAGAUUCUUAAUAUCUUUCAAUAUUGUGGAUAAGUUUUUGAGAUAUCAAGCUUUGAAUUUUAUGCAAAUUGUAUGAUUUAAAAUGUUUUAAUUUGUUGAUCAGUGUACUGAAGAUUGUAUACUUUUUAUAUGUUAUAAUUCUGUCUAUUGGUUUUCAAAAUGAAAGACUUUGAUUUUGUAAGUGCACUUUUAUCUCAUUAUGCCCCCCUUCGAAGAAGAGGGGGUAUAUUGCUUUGCUCAUGUCGGUCGGUCUGUCGGUAUGUCAGUCUGUCGGUCCGUCCACCAGGUGGUUGUCAGACGAUAACUCAAGAACGCUUGGGCCUAGGAUCAUGAAACUUCAUAGGUACAUUGAUCAUGACUCGCAGAUGACCCCUAUUGAUUUUGAGGUCACUAGGUCAAAGGUCAAGGUCACGGUGACCCGAAAUAGUAAAAUGGUUUUCGGAUGAUAACUCAAGAACGCAUAUGCCUAGGAUCAUGAAACUUCACAGGUAGAUUGAUCAUUGCUCACAGAUGACCCUUAUUGAUUUUAAGGUCACAAGGUCAAGGUCACGGUGACCCGAAAUAGUAAAAUGAUUUUCGGAUGAUAACUCAAGAACGCUUUUGCCUAGGAUCAUGACACUUCAUAGGUACAUUGAUCGUGACUCACAGAUGACCCCUAUUGAUUUUCAGGUCACUAGGUCAAAGGUCAAGGUCACAGUGACAAAAAACGUAUUCACACAAUGGCUGCCACUACAACGGACAGCCCAUAUGGGGGGCAUGCAUGUUUUACAAACAGCCCUUGUUAAAGAUUCUUUUCUAGUGUUUAGUUUAUAUUUUAAGGCUGUUUGCAAACUCGAAGUGAAAACAGCUCUAAUACAAUUUGGUAAGGACAUGACAUUGCAUAUCUGAUUUAAAAAUGUACUUUGCUGGCAACGUGUAAUUUUCAGAAAUGUCUUAGUAAGUAAGACUGUUGUUUGCAAUCAAAAGGUAUGUGCUUCAAAUCCAGGAAAAUGCAUGUUUUUUGUCCAAAUUUAUGUAAAUUCAGACAUUGUUCUGUGUAAAUAUGGGGUUUGCUUGUAGGAUCAGUCUAUUUUUAUGUCCCCCACUAUAGUAGUGGGGGACAUGUUGUUUUUGCUCUGUCGGUCUGUUGAUUGGUUGGUUGGUCUGUUUAUGCCAACUUUAACAUUUUGCAAUAACUUGCAAUAUUGAAAGUAGCAACUUGAUAUUUGGCAUGCAAAUGCAUCUCCUGAAGCUGCACAUUAUCAUUGGUGAAAGGUCAAGGUCAUCCUUCAAGGUCAGAGGUCAAAUAUAUGUGCCCUUAAUCGCUCAUUUUAUGAAUACUUUUGCAAUAUUGAAGAUAGCAACUUGAUAUUUUGCAAGCAUGUGUAUCUCAUUGAGCUGCACAUUUUGAGUGUUGAAAGGUCAAGGUCAUCCUUCAAGGUCAGAGGUCAAAUAUAUGUGGCCCAAAUCGCUUAUUGUAUUAAUACUUUUGCAAUAUUGAAGAUAGCAACUUGAAAUUUGGCAUGCAUGUGUAUCUCAUGGAGCUGCAAAUUUUGAGUGUUGAAAGGUCAAAGUCAUCCUUCAAGGUCAGAGGUUAAAUAUAUGUGGCCCAAAUCGCUUAUUUUAUGAAUACGUUUGCACUAUUGAAGAUAGCAACUUGAUAUUUGGCAUGCAUAUGCUCAUAGAGCUGCACAUUUUGAGUGGUGAAAGGUCAAGGUCAUCCUUCAAGGUCAAAUAUAUGGGUCAAAAUUGCUCAUGUUAUGUUACUUCUGCAAUAUUGAAGCUAGCAAUUUUAUAUUUGACAUGCAUGUGUAUCUCAUGGAGCUGCACAUUUUGAGUGGUGAAGGGUCAAGGUCAUCCUUCAAGGUCAAACGUUAUAUACGGGGACAUUGGGUUUCACAAACGCAUCUUGUUGUGUAUGUAAUUAAUUUUGCUUAAUUUUUGUGAUCCCCCGCCAACAGCGGAGGGAUAUUAAUUUGGCAUUGUCCGUCUUUCCGUCUGUCCGUCCGGCACUUUUGUGUCCGGAACCAUAUUUUGGAAGUGCUUUGGCAGAUUUCAUUGAAACUUGGUAUGAGUAUAUAUAUAUGGAUAAGAGGAUGAUGCACGCCGAAUGGCAUUGUACAUCCUUGAAUAAUAGCGGAGUUAUGACCCUUUGUAUUUGAAAAAAAUGCUUUUUUUGUGUGUCCAGAGCCAUAACUUGUAUCCAGAAGUAUAAUGGCGGGGGAUAUCAAUUCAACGAAUUUGCUUGUUAAAUCAGUUUUUAUUUUCAUGAUAAUCAUUUAGUUCGUACUGCAACUUAUGAUGGAUUGUUACUACUAUCUCCAAUUAUUUGUUUGUCAUGGGUCCGUCACCAUUUAUCUCUUAUAUAAUACUUGAAUUGAGCAUUUCACAAUCUGACAAUCAUGCAUAUCAUUUAUUAGUUUCAUAAUAAAACGUCUGACAAGGGUCAGAUAAUUUUAA